rnacentral:rRNA from 1 species
UACGAAGGGGGCUAGCGUUGCUCGGAAUUACUGGGCGUAAAGCGCACGUAGGCGGAUCUUUAAGUCAGGGGUGAAAUCCUGGAGCUCAACUCCAGAACUGCCUUUGAUACUGGCGAUCUCGAGUCCGGGAGAGGUGAGUGGAACUGCGAGUGUAGAGGUGAAAUUCGUAGAUAUUCGCAAGAACACCAGUGGCGAAGGCGGCUCACUGGCCCGGUACUGACGCUGAGGUGCGAAAGCGUGGGGAGCAAACAGG